GACUGACUUUCAUCUGAAUCAGGCUCAUGCUACCUUCUGAGCUGAGUCACCAGGGGUAAUUGGUAUCUACUCUGAACCUGUUUCCUCAUCUAUAAAAUACACUUAACGAUAUCUGCAUUCCUGAUUUGUCAUGAAGUGCCAGUGAGUGCAUACAAGUACAAGGAAGGAGCAGCAUAACCACCAAGCAUGGUUGGUUGAGCCUCAAGUAAACAACCUUAGAACACAGAAGGAAAGGACCCCAGACCCUCAUUUGGAACCUAGACCCAGGG
rnacentral:lncRNA from 10 species